GUGAAUCAUCGAAUCUUUGAACGCACCUUGCGCUCCUUGGUAUUCCUUGGAGCAUGCCUGUUUGAGUAUCAUGAAUUCUUCAAAGUAAAUCUUUUGUUAAUUCAAUUGGUUUCACUUUGGUAUUGGAGGUUUUUUGCAGCUUCACACCUGCUCCUCUUUGUGCAUUAGCUGGAUCUCAGUGUUAUGCUUGGUUCCACUCGGCGUGAUAAAUUAUCUAUCGCUGAGGACACUGUAAAAGGUGGCCAAGGUAAAUGCAGAUGAACUGCUUCUAAUAGUCCAUUGACUUGGACAAUACCUUUAUGAUCUGAUCUCAAAUCAGGUAGGACUACCCGCUGAACUUAAGCAUAUCAAUAAGCGGAGGAAAAGA
rnacentral:rRNA from 1 species